UUUAUCUUAUCACAAAACUAUUUGUUAUCACUUAUUUCAGUACUUGCAAAAAACACCUUGCUGAAAACCGUUUAUCAUUUCCUUCUGCUCCUCGUUGGGUUCGAUACUCUUACUUAUCGAAAGGACUACGAUAAAUCCCCUAUACUUGUGGGUCAUCACACACCGGUUAUUAACAUAAUAUAUAAAUCCAUUUUGAAAGAUGAACCGCUAGCUGUUCACGCUAAUGUAUUACAUAGCAAGACUGCUACUACUACUACAGUUAAAUGUUGUAUACAUGUACCCUAUACUUAACUAAACAUUGUCACUUUGAUGUAAUAUUUUUUGUUCUGUGUACUGACAUCAAGAAAGAGUAUAGAAAGAUAUCUACAAUCCAGAACACAUUUUCCAAUAGCCAACAGAUAAAGACAUGAGUUUUCAUGCAUAAAAUGUUUAGUGUUGCCAUGGGCAACAAAUCUUUUCGCAACAAUAUGAUGGAUGAGGCAGUAAAGGCAAGACAUUUGAAGGAUUGCCCACACUAAAAUAAGGAAUUGUACUGAACUUAAAAUAAUAUUUGCACUGAACUAAAAUUGAUCUUUGUUUAGGCAUUUAAGCAAACACCUGAAGGAAAAAAAGUGACUGACAUUUAGAAAUAAACACGAUGGUAUAGAAAAGUUUCAUGCAAGAAUGAGAAGUACGACUAUGACAUUGUAGCAACAAACAAAUGACUAGGGUAGCAAAUGUUCAAACUGAAACACUUGAACUUGCAACACAUGUGGAUAGUACGGACUAGGACAUUGUGUUUUGUGCACCUGCUCGAACUGAAACAAUUGAACUUGUAGCAAUACAAUUUUUUAGUGAUUUAGUAAUUGAACUGAUGGUCUUUUUGUCGAAUCGUGCACUGAAGAACUGGUGCAAGUCAUAUGGAAAAUAUACCAAAGAGAAACCGGAGGUGUGGCAGCACCGUUGUAGCACUUGUGGCUUUUAUAACAUUUUCAAGAGAAUCUAACCAUACACUUGCUGGCAAAAUGGAACUUCAAAUAAAGCUAUUUGGCAAGAGGCAACAUAGGGUAUCCUUUCUUUGCCAUAUUAUACCAAAUAACAAACAACAAAAAUUGGUUCUCAUAAGCAUUUCAACAAGCACCUAUAGACCAUCAAUUAUUCUCAUAUAAGUAUGGAAUCGAAUGGAGCAGCAGUAUAUAAGAAAACAAAAACCAUGGAACAUGGCGAUAAACAUCUAUACUCACAAUGGCAAAGUGUUUGUACUGCCGAAACAAACCUGCAAGAUGAACCAAAGGGGAGCUCCUUCACCUGCAAGAUGAAAAGAAAAUGCACACUAAGAUGACCUGAAGAACCACCAGAUGUUGAACUGAAUAUACAGAAGAGAAGGAGAUGAACAUCCAGGGGAAGGUGGGGAAAAGCUAGCACCUCCUGAGCUAUGGCGUAGAACAGUUUAGCGCUAUGUUGUUGAACGGCCCAAGCUGGUGGCUGUGAAUGGCCGGGGCGCUGCAGCAACAAAGCAUAAGACAUAAAACUCUGAGUAACUCGAUGGAAAUUAAGCAAAUUCAAAACUUAGUUUUGCUAAUUUUCUGGGUUAACAGGACAAUACGUAAGAAUUAGUGGUCAUGGCAUGCACUAGCUUUUUGAAUAAAAACAUUCCUAGGGAAGAUAUAGCUUCCUCCCCACCCUUGAUGAACUAUUCUUUCUUGAAAUGGCGGCCAUUUCACUUGAAACUAUCUACCAUGAUUACCUAUUGGUGCCUAGUUAAUUCAUUAACUGAUGGUGCUGCUCUUAGAGCUUUUAGAAGGCCAAACAUGUGUACAUGAGAUCGUGUUUCUACAUGCCAAUAAUCCCUCUUUUAUAGUUGUUUGGAUAAAGUACACUGCCAAUUCAACAAAUCCUUCUCAUGAACUUCUAAUACAGAGCGUGUUUAAUUUCAUACUGAGCACAAAGCAUAACUGAUGCCACAGCGGGGCUAUUGGCAGAAUACACAGCCCACUGCCGCAUUUUACGGAAAAAAAAUCAUUACGCACACUGAACUUACUAGGAGAGAUCGUAGUGUUCAAACCUGCAGCAAAACUUGGCAAGAGGCCAACUAUGGAUCCCGCCGCGCAGGAGGCCAUGUACUGAUGUUAGUUUACAUACUGAACUGACACACCUAGUUUGUCUUUUCAGGAAAUAAAAUAGAUGAUAGUUAAUUAUGAUGAUGAUAUCGCAACAUUUCUUCCCACAAUAGGAAAUUUAUCUCCUGAAUCUUAACAAAGUGAAGCCCCAAACCUGUCAGAGCUUAUGCAAACACUACAGCAGUACAACCACAAAGUAUACAAAUUAUAAGGUGGACUUGUCAAGUUGGCUUCUCUGAACUUGUUUUUUUGGUCUAAACUAUUUUGAGUUUUUAUGUCAAUAUAUAGUAGUCAGCAUAUAACAACAUUUAGCAACAGCAAAUUGGGCAGCAAAUUACAAUACAAGAUGAACUGAAAAAAGCAUACAAACCUACAAGGUGAACCCGAAAAAGCCUACGAGGUUAACUGAAAAGGCCUACAAGGUGAACUGAAGGGUGCAUUGAUCUGGUGCGACAUUGGGGGUCGAAGGUGAAUGGUCUAUGGUUGCAUCGUUGAACGGCCUACGGUGGUGGAGGUGAACGGCUUGGGCGUGCAGCCCCUAAACGCACACAGGAGUCAACAACAGGCUAACAGCCUCCCAGCGAGAGGAGGAAGGCUGGUGGAGCGCUGUGUCAUGCAUUUUUGCCAGCCGCCGCCUGUGCUCCUAUAUGAAGGAGCCCUAACUAUCGAGGACUCCAGUGCAACACCACGUCCACCCACAGCGCGACACCCCCUCCGUUGUUGAACAGACUCAUGAGGCGAUGGUGAAUGGUCUGGAGUGGUGGCGGUGAAUGCCGUGGCACGAGCACUGAAGGCAGCCUACAGAAUGGCCUCCACCAACAUUAUUUGCUGCUUUGUGUGGUGCCAACUCAUGUCCUCAUGCACGGCACCACUGUUUUCCUUUUUUACUUCUUCUAAUAUAUACAUUGAACAGCUACUACCAAUAAUAGAAUUUGUAGACUGCCAGCAUUUCUGCAAAGAUGACAAUUAUUUAUCUAACCAGAGAACUGAAGAUUUAAGAAAGCGUAAACUACUAACCAGAUAACUACAAAAUUUACCACCUUCAGACUUGGCAUGUCACUUUCAUUUCUUCUACCAUUUUGUGUCAUAUCUGAAAUUUAGUGCCAUGGCUUGAUCAGUCAAUUUCAGUUUUGCUUAGUUGUCUUUGAGAUAACAUGCAAACGAGAAUUUUGAGCAUGUACGUGUUUGUAAAAGAUGAACAUAUUGACUAAUUUUUUAUCUUAUACUCUAGUUCAGUAUUAUGAAUACGAUUUUGGUCUUGGGCAGGUCAACUUCGCCACCCUAAUGUUUUAUCUCUACUCUGUUUCCAUGGAUAAGAUCAAGUCCUAUCUCUGAAUGAACUAAAGAACUGUAGAAUGCUAAGAAGUAUUUUUCCUAGGGAAUGUGUGGGAAACAUGCAACAUACCAGAACUUGGUCUGGACUCGUAGUUGAACUUGUUACCCAUCCACACUAGCACCAUAGCAGCACAAGCCGUGUUAGAAACCAGGGGGAGCCAGGCUGGAUCCGGUCGGAGAUGACAGUGGCGAGCGCCUACAUUUUAGCAAUGACACUAAAUUUACUUGUCCUUGACCUCCAAGAUGAACUGAAAGGAUGCAAUUUUUCUAUUUUUGUCCUUAAGAAACAUAUCAACAAACUUAAUAGCACACUCACGGCCCUAUAUAGGAUGUUACUAGUAUUGUUUGGUUCUUAGAGACAUAUGCAAACACCUAGCAAGCACAAAGGUACUAAUUUCGUGGCGUGUAGUUUAAUAUUUAGGCUGUAGAAUGGUCUGAUCCCUGAAAUGUCUUUUAUAAAGUGGCAUGAUGCCUAGUAUCAAGAUAAGCCAUGCAUCAAACAUAAAAAUACUUUUGAGAUGCCCACUAUCAUGUACUACCAAACUGGCUAAAUCAACAGUAGUGACUGAUGGUACACCACACCUAAUUCCAUCCCGGCGACAACACAAAUUAUAUAUUGAACUGAACCAAGAG
rnacentral:lncRNA from 1 species